CCUACGGGUGGCAGCAGUGGGGAAUCUUGGGCAAUGGGCGCAAGCCUGACCCAGCACCGCCGCGUGAAGGACGAAGGCCCUCGGGUUGUACACUUCUUUUGUCAGGGACGAAACAAAUGACGGUCCCUGACGAAUAAGCCACGGCUAACUACGUGCCAGCAGCCGCGGUAAUACGUAGGUGGCAAGCGUUAUCCGGAUUUACUGGGUGUAAAGGGCGUGUAGGCGGGAGAGCAAGUCAGAUGUGAAAUUCCAGGGCUCAACCCUGGAACUGCAUUUGAAACUGUUUUUCUUGAGUGAUGGAGAGGCAGGCGGAAUGCCGUGUGUAGCGGUGAAAUGCGUAGAGAUACGGAGGAACACCAGUGGCGAAGGCGGCCUGCUGGACAUUAACUGACGCUGAGGCGCGAAAGCGUGGGGAGCAAACAGGAUUAGAUACCCCUGUAGUC
rnacentral:rRNA from 1 species